ensembl:snRNA U6 U6 spliceosomal RNA
GUGCUCACUUCAGCAGCACAUACACUAAAAUUAGAAUGAUAUGGAGAAGAUAAGCACUGCCCCUGAGCAAGGAUAACUCGCAAAUUCAUGAAACAUUCCAUAGUUUU